rnacentral:lncRNA from 1 species
GGCAGACUCCAGAUUUUGGCUAAUACAAAUAAAAUUCCUGUGAACAUUCGUGUACAGGUUUUUGUGUGAACAAAUGUUCUCAUUUGUCUGGAAUAAAUACCCAGGAAUGCAAACGAUGGUACAUACAGUAAUUGCAUACUUAGUUUUAUAAGAAACUGCCUCUUUUCCAGAAUGGCUGUGCCAUUUCACAUCUAUACCAGCAAUAUAUGAACAAUCUAGUUUCUCUGCAUCCUUGUCAGCAUGUGGUAUCAUCACUAUUUAUUAUUUUAGCCAUUCUGGCACUGGACAUAUAACGCUGAACAAGAUAAUUAUGGGACUUGAACUCUAGAAUUGCAAAUGCUGAUCAACACUAUGAAGGGACUGCAGCAUUGAGAUGACAAGGGGGAGGUAACAAGUCUUAAGAAGAAACUGAAGAACGUGGGCCAAAUACAGGACAGUGUCAAUGCAGAAAAGGGACAAGAUAUAAGAAAUUUAAAAAGCCAAAACCAUGUUUCUCAAACUUGUCUACACCUUGAAAUCACCUAGAGAGUUUUAAUGCUGAUGCCCCGGUUCUACUCCUAGAGACUCAGAUUUAAUUGGCAUGACAUGCAACCUAGAUUGGAUUUUCUGAAAGCUGCAAGAUGAUUCUAAUGGAGCAAAGUUUGACAACCACAGUCACCAAACAAAUGCUUCCUUCACAAAGAGAAGAUGAGAAGUUGCGUCUGGAUGAAACAUUCUGUCACAGAUUCAUUUCAGCUUCAUGUCACAGCUUGUGUAUUAUUUAGAGGUCAAGAAGAAGAUAACCAGCACCUCAGAAGCUCUCUUCAUACACCCCUCAACCACUACUCACUGGAUUUGUUUGGCCUAUUUUCAAACAUUGUAUCUAUAAAAUCAUAUAGUAUGCAUUACUUCGUUUUGCUUUUCCAUUCCACAUUAUGUUUGUGAGAUAUAUCAAUGUGACCGUAGGUGGUAGUAGUUUGACCUAUUUCAUUGUUAUAUAGUAUUUCAUCUUAUGCCUAUACCAUGAUUUAUCUAUUCUUCUCUUGAUUAACAUGUAACUUGUUUUCAGUUUGGGAACAGUAUAAAGUUAUGUUGCUAUAAAACAUUUUUACAUGGCUUCUGGCACUACUAAGUACUAUUCAUUGUUGACUCUAUAACAUGGAGUAUUCAUUGCUGGGCCACAGGGUGUGUGUAUGUUUAACUUUAGUUACUACUGUCAAUUCCUUUUCAAAAGUGGUUGUACAGGUACCAAAUUUGUUCUCACACCAGCCAUUUAUGCAGAAUCCAGUGACUCCAUAUCUUUGCCAACACUUGGUAUCUCAUUAUGGUUUUAAUUUUCCUGUUCCUAAUCACUAAUGAAAUUAAGUUUUUUUUUUUUAAGUACCAACACUACUUUAACAGAAUUGACUUUCUGAUAUCAUUGAUUUAUCUUUAUCUAGAACUGCUCUUCAUGGUAGGCAACUCACUAGUUGAUGCCCUUAAAACUUUUCCUUAGAGAGUACAGAUUUUUAAUCUAAAAAUUAGCAAGUGUGUUAUAUGGACAUUUUCUUUGUGUAACAACAACACAGGUAAAAAUAAACAACUUUCUAAAUAUUAAUACCACUUUUAAAAGCUAUUCUGAAAUUCUUUAUCCUUACAAGUAUUUGGUGAAAAGGUGAGGUAAUUUUAUUGGCAUAAAUGUAUAUCUCAUAAUUAUCAACAAACAAAAUGAAUUCCAACUGUAAUACUCAGACACGUUUUGCAUGAAAAGUAACCUGGAAUGGCAAAUGCAAUAGUAUCUCCUUAUUUUUUAGGCCAUUAAAAAUCAUUGCUGGCUGGGCGCAGUGGCUCAUGCCUGUAAUCCAGCACUUUGGGAGGCCGAGGCAGGUGGAUCACCUGAGGUCGGGAGUUCAAGACCAGCCUGGCCAACAUGGUGAAACCCCGUCUCUACUAAAAAUACAAAAAUUAGCCAGGCUUGGUGGUGCAUGCCUGUAGUCCCAGGUACUCGGGAGGCUGAGGCAGGAGAAUCACUUGAACCCAGGAGGCAGAGGUUGCAGUGAGCUGAGAUGGAGCCAUUACACUCCAGCCUGGGUGACAGAGCGAAACUCUGUCUCAAAAAAAAAAAAGAAAAAAUAAUUGCCACUUCCACCCACAUCAUCAAUGAAGAAGGGCAGCAACAAAUUCGGCUACAUAAAGAUGACAAAUAUACAAAGGACAGCCUGUGAGAAGGGACAGGUUUAGAUUUUUGGCUUCAUGCUCAGGUUUCAUAUUUUCCAAUUUGAAUUUCUACUGAUUUUGAUAUCCUUUUUAUGUUCUGAUUAGGCAGAUUAAAUAUGUCUAUAAAGAAUUUUCCAGAUACAUGAUAUUACAUAAGAUCAUAAUAAAAUUAUUUGAAGACACCGG